AACAAGUGUUACCCCAUCACGUCCACCCUUAUCUCCCCAGCAGGGCUCCGGACAACCGCACCAGCAGCCCCUGUCUUCUGCAUGUCAGCCCUGGCUCAUAUGGAGUACACCCUCUUAUUGAGCAGAGAGUCAUGGCGUGCAUGGACCAUUGGGCACCCUGGAGACCAUAAUGUUAGUCUAACGGAUGCCUCUUCUGCUUUCCCCGGUAUUUUUUUUUUUUUUUUUUUUUUUUUUUUUUGCUUUCCCCGGGAUUGAGAAGUCAUGGGUACGUAAAAACCACCCUUGUCAGCCCAUUCAUGAAACUACGGGUUGAUUUCUUAACUCUUUCUUAGUCUCAAGGGUGAGGAAUGUGUGGGACAGUUUGAAAUUGAAUUCCCCAAAGUCACACUGGAGUUUGUAGCAAAGCAAAAACAGGACAAAACACAAGAAGGUGUUUGAUGCCUGGCUCCUCAGCACCCCAAAGGCAGGAGAGUAGAUGCUUCUCUCAGCCACUGAAUUUAUUUCAUCUUCCUGAAGGUCUGGCGGUUUCACCUGUGGAACUUCCUUUUGAACAGGGCUACCACCUCUACAUGAGCUUUUUGUUAUUUGAGGGCAGCUACACUGGAUGAAGUUACAGAAUUUCCUUCAUUCCAUUCUCCUUGGCCAGUCCACAGUGGCAACCUGUGUCCAGAGCUCCCUCUCCAAGCCAUGGGAACGGACACAAGGGAGUGGAGGGAGAUUUUCUUAUGUGGAUAUUUAUAAGGAG
rnacentral:lncRNA from 12 species